rnacentral:RNase_P_RNA from 1 species
GUUGGAAGAUGAUCGAGCAGGGAAACUUGUUAGGAAAGUCCAUGCUAGCACAACCUGUGAUGGUUGUAGUGUUUAUGUUUAAGGAAGAAAUAACUUAAAGAUUAUAGAAAUAUAAGACGGAGAAAGAUGAUUCUAAAAUAUUUAUAUCAUGAUGAUUCUCUCAUAACGUGCCACAGAGACGAGAUUAUAGUGAAAACUAUAAUAUGAAACGAGGUAAACCCCAUAAGCUAGAAACCUAAAUUUGGUAAGGGAACGUUUAAUCAGCGAAAUAGAAGCUAGAUUGAUCGGGACAUGUAAAAGUGUUCAGUUUAAUGAUCAUAUAGAUACAGAACAUGGCUUAUGCAC